UACGGGGGGAGCAAGCGUUGUUCGGAUUUACUGGGCGUAAAGUGUGCGCAGGCGGCCGAGCAAGUCGAGUGUGAAAGCCCCGAGCUUAACUUGGGAACUGCGCUCGAAACUACUUGGCUAGAGUGUGGCAGAGGGAGGUGGAAUUCCACGUGUAGCGGUGAAAUGCGUAGAGAUGUGGAGGAACACCGAUGGCGAAGGCAGCCUCCUGGGCCAACACUGACGCUCAUGCACGAAAGCGUGGGGAGCAAACAGG
rnacentral:rRNA from 1 species